UACAGAGGGGGCAAGCGUUAUUCGGAAUUAUUGGGCGUAAAGGGCGCGUAGGCGGCUUUGCAAGUGACGGGUGAAAUCCCUCGGCUUAACCGAGGAACUGCCUGUCAAACUGCAUGGCUUGAGUACAGACGAGGUUGGCGGAAUUGAUUGUGUAGCGGUGAAAUGCAUAGAUACAAUCAAGAACUCCGAUUGCGUAGGCAGCUAACUAGGCUGUAACUGACGCUGAGGCACGAAAGCGUGGGGAGCGAACAGG
rnacentral:rRNA from 1 species